CUGGCAUUAACAAUGCAGGAAUGCAACAACUUUCUGUAAAUGUAACAAUUGUAUUUCACAUUCAUGUCAACUUCUUGUUUUUUGGGACCUUGGAAGAUAAUAAUAUAGACUGUGUAUUGUUACCUCUGGAAUUGUGAAAUGUUAAGUUAACAAUUGUCUACUUAGUGUUGACAAGAUGAACUGCCUGUACCAGUAUGUAGAGACUAGUUCCUAUGAUGGACGUGUACAACUCAUGAGCAGCCAAACAAACAAGAUUAACGGAAAGUAAGCAGACUGCGAGGGAAAGUUAGGUAGUAAAGAGGUCAUAUUGCUAAAAUGGUCAUAUUGAUGCAUAGAGGUGUGUUAUGGAUACAUUAUACACAUAACACACCUCUAUGCAUCAAUAUUAAUCACAACUGUACAAAAGGUCCAUACAUAAACAUCAUUGUACUCAAUAUAUUUGUACUGGUAAACAUUUUUUAAAUAUAUGACAACAGUUCAGCCCCCAUCUCCUACACGGCCCAGACUGUGUCUACAGGAAGCCCUGACCAAGCCAUUUCAACCCUCUGCUCAGACACGGCCCAGACUGUGUCUACAGGAAGCCCUGACCAAGCCAUUUCAACCCUCUGCUCAGACACGGCCCAGACUGUGUCUACAGGAAGCCCUGACCAAGUCAUUUCAACCCUCUGCUCAGACACGGCCCAGACUGUGUCUACAGGAAGCCCUGACCGAGCCAUAUCAACCCCCAGCUCCUACACGGCCCAGACUGUGUCUACAGGAAGCCCUGACCGAGCCAUUUCAACCUCCAAUCUCCCACUCAACCCGACACGUCUUCAGAUAUCAGGCAGAGGCUGUCCUCUGAGAUUGUUAGCCUGGCUGCAGGGAUGCUGACACUCACUCCUGGGAGCAGCAAUCUCUUACCACAGUCUCUCAUGUCACAACACAUGAUGUUCCCUCUCAGGUUCUGGCAGAGUUGUGCAGACUCAGGACAACUGACCUUUGGAGGAAUAUGCAGAUUUAAAGAGGAGUCCAUAAUUUGCUUUCUAAUGAUCAUGAUCUUUUCCUCAAAGAAGUUCAUGAAUUUAUCACUGCUGAAGUGAAAGCCAUCCUCUCUUGGGGAAUGCUGCUUUUUAGUUAGCUUUGCGACAGUAUCAAAAAGAAAUAAAAAAGUAUCAAAAAGAAAGAAUCAGUAUCAAAAAGGAAAGAAUCAAACCCUUAUCUUCCUAGUACAUAUGGAAAUGAAAAAAAAAAAAUGUUUAGGAAUGACUUUUUAGAGGGUUUAUUAAAUUGAAAGAAUAAAUAAUAAUAAAAGACAUUGAUGACAUGUGCAUGGGUCACCAGAUCAUCAGGGCUGCCGGGAGUGUCCGGUACGCCGACGGUUUCAGAGUCUUGUAAGUCACCUUGGUGUGAAUGCUGUGUAGCCUAUCUCAUGCCACCGGCAGAAUCUAACGUGACCACCCGAUUCGAUUUUAUUUGAAGAAUUAAAAAAACGAAGAAUUUAAAAAAAAAAAAUGGCGCCAGGUGGUGGUAGUUGAAUAUUCUGAGAAUAAAGUUGAAAUAACAUUUUGUCAAUAAAGUGGUGAUAUUUAUAGAAAAAAGUGACAAUAUUUUGGGAAUAUAGUGGCAAAUAUUUCAAGAAUAUACUCAACAUUUAAUUGAAAGAAUAAAGUUAAAAUGUUGAGAAUAAAGUAGAUAUUUUGAGAAUAAAGUCACUGUUAUAUUUCAGGAUUAAAAUAUGGGAUUUGGUUAAUUGCAUGUCUCCCUGGCUGCUUGUUGCCUUGCCACCAUUGAAAUACCUGAUGACUGGUGAAACUGUACAUUAUAAUUGGAUUUAGUAAAUAGGAAGUCUUGGCUCUUUUUGCACAUAAUAACCAAAUAGUUGUAAUUAUCAGGACCUGGAAGAGACAGAUUAUUUUCAGGAGGAAACCUGGUUUCAUACUGUAGGUAGAGGUGAGCGGGUUGUGUGUGUUUAUGCAGAUGUGUGUCUGCUCUCCAAAUUCGCUUCAACACUGCUAUUUUGCAGCCAUUAUAAACCUAUAGCGGCCCACUACUGCACUGUACCCUAACCUGUAGGCUAAUCGUACAUUACAACGGACAAGUUAAAGUAAGGUAUGAGAUCAUCGAACGG
rnacentral:lncRNA from 1 species